CCGAACCAGGGCACGUUAAAAAGUGCUUGGAUGACUUGUGGGUAGCGGAGAAAUUCCAAACGAACUUGGAGAUAGCUGGUUCUCUCCGAAAUAGCUUUAGGGCUAGCGUCGACAUUAGAGAUUCUUGGAGGUAGAGCACUGUUUGGGUGAGGGGUCCAUCCCGGAUUACCAAUCUCAGAUAAACUCCGAAUGCCAAUGAAUUAUGGUCGGCAGUCAGACUGCGAGUGCUAAGAUCCGUAGUCGAAAGGGAAACAGCCC
rnacentral:rRNA from 14 species